AUUGAACGCUGGCGGCAGGCUUAACACAUGCAAGUCGAGCGGGGUGAUGGUGCUUGCACUAUCACUUAGCGGCGGACGGGUGAGUAAUGCUUAGGACACUGCCUAUUAGUGGGGGACAACAUUUCGAAAGGAAUGCUAAUACCGCCUACGUCCUACGGGAAAAAGCAGGGGAUCUUCGGACCUUGCGAUAUUCAAUGAGCCUAAGUCGGAUUAGCAAGUUGGUGGGGUAAAGGCCUACCAAGGCGACGAGCUGUAGCGGGUCUUAGAGGAUGAUCCGCGACACUGGGACUGAGCCACGGCCCAGACUUCUACGGGAGGCAGCAGUGGGGAAUAUUGGACAAUGGGCGGAAGCCUGAUCCAGCCAUGCCGCGUGUGUGAAGAAGGCCUUAUGGUUGUAAAGCACUUUAAGCGAGGAGGAGGCUACUUUAGUUAAUACCUAGAGAUAGUGGACGUUACUCGCAGAAUAAGCACCGGCUAACUCUGUGCCAGCCGCCGCCGUAAGAC
rnacentral:rRNA from 1 species